UUACAAAUUGAUGAUGAGCUAGCUAUAAGAUGCCUCAUAAUCCAAUAUUAUUAUUAUCUCUCAACUAAAAUUAGAGCACUCCACAAGCCAUUACAAUAAAGAGGUUACGUUGGUGGUGGGACAACAAUGACAACAUUCUCUGCAGCAAUAGUAAGUUCAGCAGCCAUUGUAGGUACAAGGACGUCUGGCCAGAUCAAAAGAACCAAAGUGAAGUACAUGACUAGUGGAUUGAACUCAUUUGGAGGUCAAAAGGCAAAUAACCAUGUCGCCUCAUUAGGCCUCCCCAUGUUCUCACUGCAAACCCCAUCACAAACCAAAGGUCGAGCUUUAAUUUGCCCUCUCUUUUCAGAUUUCUCAAAAAGAGUAAUUCUUAACCUACUUCAACUCCAAGCGUCAAAAGUAAUAAAUACUACAACGCUCCAAAUUGAUUCUAAUUCUCAAACAUUGCCAAUAAGUAUUUAGAUAUCCGAUCGAUCGAGCGUAUUUGUCAAUUCCUAUUUAGGACUCACAAGUUUGUUUACAAACCAUCCACAAAUGCCAAUCAAAAGAAGUAGAAAAAAUAUAUGAAGAAAAAACAAUUUUCUAAUACUUGUGCAUGUUGCCAUAUAUGCAGAUGCUAUCUUUCUAAAUUUCUAUUACCCACAUAAUUAAUUAAUUAUUUGCUCAUUUAAUUAUAAUUGAAUAAGUUAAAUCUUAAAUUUGUACAGGGAGGUACCUAGUAGGAUUAAACUACUGACUAAUAAUUAUUAUAUCCACAAAUCACGUUGAUGGAACGUGAAAACAUAAUUGUCUGCUCUCCAUAUUAUAAAAGGGUCAUCUCUCUGCCAAAAUAAAAAUAAGCUCCCUCAUAUAUUAUUUUGAAAUGUAAGGAUAAGAGAGAGAAAAAUACUUUUGUGCUUCCGCUAAAACCAUAGAGAAUUCAGGUAAGUAAUUCUUCACUGAAUUACUGUAAUUUGUUUAUGUGAAAAUCAUUAAGUUCUACGUUCCUACAUAAUUGAUAGGAUUAUUUAUAUUAGAUUGUUUAAGUUAUACAAUCAUGUUAAAUCCUUACAUGUGGUAUCCGAGUAAGGUUUAAGAAUAAGUGAUUUUUCAUCAAAAAAAAUAAUGUUUCUUCUAAUUGUUUGAACCUUAAUUAUGUUUGUUAGGAAUUUCACAAUUACCAAAAUAAUGAAAUUUUGAUAAAUUAUGAUUUAUGUGUCUAUGAAGAAACUAAAUAGUGUAUGUUUUAAUCAAAUCCUUAUGUUUUAAUUGUUUGUAGUAGUAUGUUUAUUGGAAUUGAAUUCAUGGGAAAGCAUAAUUGCUAAUACGGUGAUAAUAAUUAAAAUUUCGUGACGCAUUGCAUAAUUUAUGGGACUGAAUAUUGCAGUAAAUUAAGGAUGCUUAAUUGUUGGCCUAGUGAUGUUUCCAUAGAUUUAGGAUAUUAUAAAUUCAUGGGAUAUAUUAUUAAUUCUACUAAAUUCCGGCUUACAGUGAUGCAUUGUUAAUUACUUCCAUAGAUUUUAAUUUACGGACUGCUCAUUGUUAAAUAAAAUAAAGAAUAACCUUUAUUAUGUUUGUUCUUUGUUAUUUUAAAUGUUACGGAAACAACUCUUUGUUGUUAGAAUAUUGUAGUAUGCAAUAAUAAAAUUUAUUAUUUUUUUUAAUGUGACUUGAAAUUAUAUAUGUAAGAUUCGUUAAUCACCAAAGUGGUCGAAUCUUUAUGAAAUUAAUUCCAAAAUAAAGAUUAAAUUAAAAUUAAUUAUCCAUUAAUGUUGGUGCUUAUAAUUGAUCUAAUAAUUAUGGCUAAAUUAAAAUUUUGGUUAUAAAAUAUUUGUGGAUCACCUAAAGGUUGAUUGUUUGUUCGUAUGACCAAUAAAUAUUAAGGAGAUAAUUUUGAUGUGUCGUUAAUUUUAUUUAUUUAUUUAUUUAUUUAUCCAAAGAUAAUAAAUAUUAUUAAUUGAUGCAUUAAAUAUUUUCGAUUUGUGUUAAAUAUACUUUUAAGCAUCAUUAUGUUUAAAGUUGUAUUUUGAUGUUUCGCCCAAAGGAGAACAUCAAUAUACAUUCAAGAAAGUAAAUUAUUUCUGAAUUUGAUAAUGUGUUUAAACUAGUAACUCAAAGUAUUAAUAAAUGAGCAUGUUUUACUUGCAGCACUUGCCCUUCAUUCGCACUCUGCCUCUGUUACAAAUUUUAACAGACUUAACUUUUUAGAUUGGAACGAACAAAUCAAAUUCCAUCUUGGGGUUUUAGAUCUUGAUGUUGCACUUUACUCUGAGAAGCCAACGGUUAUUACUGAAGCUAGCAGUGAUGAAGAAAAGUCCUAUUAUAAGCAUCGGGAUCGAUCUAACAGAUUAGGCCUAAUAUUCAUGCGAAUGAAUAUUGCGGGCAACAUUAAGACUACUCUUUCCAAAACUGAAAGUGCAAAAGAACUUCUAAAAUUUGUGGAAGAGUCUUCCCAAACUGUCAAUAAGUCCUUUGCUAGGACACUAAUGGGUACUUUGACCACCAUGAAGUUUGAUGGUUCACGUACUAUGAUGAGCAUGUCAUUGAAAUGACAAAUAUAGCAGCAAGACUUAAGUCUUUGGGAAUGGAAGUGGAACAAAAUUUCCUUGUGCAGUUCAUCAUCAACUCAUUACCGUCUGAGUAUGGUCUUUUCCAAAUGAACUACAACACCAUGAAAGACAAAUGGAACGUGCAUGAAUUGCAUGGUAUGCUAGUUCAAGAGGAAACAAGACUGAAGAAUCAAGGACCCCACUUCAUUAACUUUGUAAAUCAUCAAGAAGUUGAAAAUAAAGGAAAGAAACAUGUUAAGGGACAACAGAAGCAACUUAAUGUUAAUGAUUCAUUAUCUCAAGUACGUAAGAAAGGAAACAAGAAUGAGAAGUGUCAUUUCUGUGGAAAAUCUGGACACUUUCAGAAAGAUUGCCUGAAACGUAAGACAUGGUUUGAGAAGAAAGGGAUUCUUUACAAUCCAAACCAUAAACAAGAAUGAAAAAUUUGCUUACAUGGGGAAUAGAGUGAAGGCUCCAGUUGAAGCUAUCAAGACUUAUCGUCUGAUUCUUGAUACUGGACGUCACUUAGAUUUAGUUGAAACUUAUUAUGUUCCUUCUCUUUCGAGAAAUUUAGUUUCUUUGUCUAAGUUAGAUAAGACUGGAUAUUCCUUUAAUUUUGGUAAUGGAUGUUUUAGUUUGUUUAAACAUAAUUAGCUCAUUGGUACUGGUACUCUUUGUGAUAACUUAUACAAACUGAAUCUUGAUAAUCUUCUUGUCGAAACACUCUUAACUCUG